rnacentral:rRNA from 1 species
GAACGAGUUCUGAUUAUUGAAAGGUGCUUGCAUCUUGAUUUAAUUUUGAACGAGUGGCGGACGGGUGAGUAACACGUGGGUAACCUGCCCUUAAGUGGGGGAUAACAUUUGGAAACAGAUGCUAAUACCGCAUAAAUCCAAGAACCGCAUGGUUCUUGGCUGAAAGAUGGCGUAAGCUAUCGCUUUUGGAUGGACCCGCGGCGUAUUAGCUAGUUGGUGAGGUAACGGCUCACCAAGGCAAUGAUACGUAGCCGAACUGAGAGGUUGAUCGGCCACAUUGGGACUGAGACACGGCCCAAACUCCUACGGGAGGCAGCAGUAGGGAAUCUUCCACAAUGGACGCAAGUCUGAUGGAGCAACGCCGCGUGAGUGAAGAAGGCUUUCGGGUCGUAAAACUCUGUUGUUGGAGAAGAAUGGUCGGCAGAGUAACUGUUGUCGGCGUGACGGUAUCCAACCAGAAAGCCACGGCUAACUACGUGCCAGCAGCCGCGGUAAUACGUAGGUGGCAAGCGUUAUCCGGAUUUAUUGGGCGUAAAGCGAGCGCAGGCGGUUUUUUAAGUCUGAUGUGAAAGCCCUCGGCUUAACCGAGGAAGUGCAUCGGAAACUGGGAAACUUGAGUGCAGAAGAGGACAGUGGAACUCCAUGUGUAGCGGUGAAAUGCGUAGAUAUAUGGAAGAACACCAGUGGCGAAGGCGGCUGUCUGGUCUGUAACUGACGCUGAGGCUCGAAAGCAUGGGUAGCGAACAGGAUUAGAUACCCUGGUAGUCCAUGCCGUAAACGAUGAAUGCUAGGUGUUGGAGGGUUUCCGCCCUUCAGUGCCGCAGCUAACGCAUUAAGCAUUCCGCCUGGGGAGUACGACCGCAAGGUUGAAACUCAAAGGAAUUGACGGGGGCCCGCACAAGCGGUGGAGCAUGUGGUUUAAUUCGAAGCAACGCGAAGAACCUUACCAGGUCUUGACAUCUUUUGAUCACCUGAGAGAUCAGGUUUCCCCUUCGGGGGCAAAAUGACAGGUGGUGCAUGGUUGUCGUCAGCUCGUGUCGUGAGAUGUUGGGUUAAGUCCCGCAACGAGCGCAACCCUUAUGACUAGUUGCCAGCAUUUAGUUGGGCACUCUAGUAAGACUGCCGGUGACAAACCGGAGGAAGGUGGGGAUGACGUCAAAUCAUCAUGCCCCUUAUGACCUGGGCUACACACGUGCUACAAUGGAUGGUACAACGAGUUGCGAGACCGCGAGGUCAAGCUAAUCUCUUAAAGCCAUUCUCAGUUCGGACUGUAGGCUGCAACUCGCCUACACGAAGUCGGAAUCGCUAGUAAUCGCGGAUCAGCACGCCGCGGUGAAUACGUUCCCGGGCCUUGUACACACCGCCCGUCACACCAUGAGAGUUUGUAACACCCGAAGCCGGUGGCGUAACCCUUUUAGGGAGCGAGCCGUCUAAGGUGGACAAAUGAUUAGGG